CCCUAAACUCAUCAAUCUUCCGUUUGUGAUGUGAAGUUUGGUCUUUAUCUUCUCCCUCCCGCAUGCUUGAGUGUAAGGGAAACUAUUUUAGUGAAAAAAAUUUGGAAAGGGUAUUUAUUUAAUACACUUUCUAAUUUCCUUUCUCUUUUCUCCUCUUUUUUCUUGAAAUUUCAACGUUGGUUUUGUUGUUGGAUUUGAAAUCUUGGUUUCGCCUGAAAUUGUUGCUUUCCUUCACGUCCGGUUGAAGAGAGUUGUUGAUUUUGAUUCUUUUAAGAGAAGGUGGUGAAAACCAUCUUCUUCUUCACGAGUACUUCUCCCCCUAUUCUACCUUCUCUCUCCAUUAUCUCUUUUAUUCUGUUCUCAAUAACACAUGGAAGAUAUACUAAGCUCACCGCGCUGCCGUUGAUCGAUGCUGCCACUUCUGCUGCUCGUCAUGCUGCUUCAGCGGUGUUCUUCCAUCACCGCCAACUAUCAUCCCUCUCAAGAAAAAGGAAAUAGAGUAUUGAGGGAAGAUCUUUCAAAUGUGCAAUGGAGGAUGAAGAUCAGAUUGCUUACAUCCACUCUUGAAAGAAGGUAGUGAGCUUUUUAUUCAACAUAUUCUUCAAGAAGAUGAUUCAAAAACAAAUUAACAGAUGAGUAUUUUUCAUGCUUGCUCUCAAUCUAUUUAUUCUAUGUUUCCUCCUUUUAAGCUGCAAGGAUUUAAAGUUGUUAUUUGGUUAUUUUGUUGAAACAAAAUAACUUGUUUUUUAAAUAAAAAUUCUUCCGCCCGAGUUGCCACUAAGGCCUUGCCUCCGGUCAGCUCAAAUGUUGCUUCUACUGCAGAAGCCGCAGUCUCCAUUGCUACGCUUGGCACCAAACUUGCCAUGGUGGCUUCAGAUUUGGAGGAGUCUCUCCCCCAAAGGCAAGGAUAUUAGAUCUGCCUCUAAAUUACUUAAAAAGACUUCUCUUUUAAGUUGUUUAGUUUGUGGUUGUUUUCUUUUUCUUUUAUAAAUUAAUUAUGUUUACAAAUGUUGCUUUCAACUUAAUUGGUUUUUCACAUUAUUAUCAUUGAGUUGUUGAACUGA